UCCAUGCCACAGGAACUACAGAACAGAGACAGAAAUAAAAUCUACCACUCAGCAGUGCAGCUUUCUCCCCACAUUAACACUCAUAUGCAAACAGCGACAGUAGAGCUUAGAUCCAUUAUACUAAGGCAACAGCAACCCUUUCUUCCACCUACAAUUUGAUCUUUAUAUCUGAUGCAAAAAUGUUUCCUUGCAUACAGCAAGCACUGGCUCCUUUGCUCAACCCCUGUGGGAUUUCUGUGCAGAGGGGAAGAGACGCACACAGGAUACUGCUGUGCUCCUGCUGCUGCUGGCAAAUCUCACCUUGAAUCAAGCUAAGCCAUUUCUCCAGGCCUUUGCCUUUUCACGGGUGAGACUUUUAGCCAAGAGUUCAGUAUCAAAAUAAGAACAAGAAAUCACCAAAGCAGGAAUGCUGUUUAUGAUUCCCACUUCCAAGUUCUCCUUUCUGGUACUCUGUCAUCUUUAUGUGCUAAGCAACAAAAUGCUCCACUCUUCUCUGUACAAAAUCACCUAUUUCAUGUUUUCUAGGUCAAUUCAGAUAUAUUUAUUGAUUAUAUCUCUGUGUAUUUAACAAUGACACUAUAUGCAGAAAUCGAAGUGGAAUGUGUGCAAAUAAAAGUAACCUUUUUAAGUAAAGUAAUUUCAAAGAAAAAGGUACAUGCUGUUCCAUUUGUGGGAGAUUUAUUUUUAAUGCAGUUCAUUGGUAUUUAUUUGAAUUUGACUUAUGUGGCAAAAAUCUAGACAAAAUGUGAAAUAUGAUAACUAUUAUAAUUCUCAGUAAUAUUUCAUAUCUUAAUGUGUAGCUGCAGUCACAAAUAAAACCCCCAAAUUACAAUUAUCUCA